GACUAGCGGCUUAAACCCGUGUUUGCCAGCUGAUUGAGCCACGACCUCAGCAAAAUCCCAGUUCGUGCUUCUGGGGGGGAAGUCCACGUCCCCCACGCGAUCACCCUGUUCCCUGCGGAGAGACAGGAGGGAGCUGGCCUCAGGCCGCGGUGUGCCCCCAGGCGCAGAAUCUGCAGAAACAAAUGUGAAAAGCCUCUGUAGACACUGAGAUCCUGUCCCUGCCAAGGAGAAAAAUGAUGCAUAAAUUUUCAAUAUGGCUUGUGCAGCAUGGCUUCAAAAUCCAGUAUUUUGUACUGUGUAGAUUUUUGGGUUCAGCUUCCAGAAUUUGAAAGCUUUGUGUGCCAAAUAA